rnacentral:lncRNA from 1 species
CUUCAGCUAUACCCGCAAGUCCUAGUCCCACCCCCGCUACCCCGUGUCCUGGGGACCGGGUCAAGAUGUGCGUAGGUGCUGGGAGGUAGACACCCCUCCUUCCUAGCCCCAGGCGUCACCCACGCCCAGGCCAGCACUGGAUCUUCCACUUACCUAACCUCCCCUCUCCCAAGUCCCAAGGCCACCCCCUGUGCCCCUCCUGAGAGCGGGUGACAAGCUGCUGAGACAGUGUCUGAUUCACCGACAGCUGAACCAGCUAUGCGUACUCGGAGGAGAGCAUCACCUUGUGGUCAGUGAGUUCAAACUCCCGGGCUCUGCUACCGAUGGAGACAGUCUGUUGUCGACCUUGAGCGACUUUCACAUUCUCUCUGGAUGCCUGUUUCCUUGCUUGUGAAUAAACCAGGAGCAGACCAGAGUGAAAGUGGGAGACCAAUUCAGAGGCAAUUUCAGUGGUCCAGGUGGGAGAGGAUGGAGACCUGGACAAGAUGAUGGCAGAUGGAGAUGGAGAGAAGAGGUGGGCUUCAGAUUCAUGUUGGACAUGGUGUUCACACCUUGGUGAUGGUUUGGACAUGGGACAUGAGAGAGAAAGGAACUUCAUGAGUGAUUUCUGGCUUGAGUAUCUGAAUGGGUGGUGGUGACAUUUACUGAAAUGGGAAAAUGGGGAAAGGGUUGAUUUUGGGUCAUGUAUUUAUAAUGACGCAGUUGGCACAGUCAUGUGACUUUCUCCAGCAAUGCUUAGCUGGCACAGAAGAGGUGGGCUGUAGGUUUCAUCCACAGGUGAGUGUUUGCCAGGACUGGGCAGCAGGAGAGAAGUAAGGGAGCUGAAGGGACUUGCAAGGGAGUCAUUAGCAAACUGUUGGACUAGGAACUCUAAACUCAUUGACAGGGAAAUGAAGGCAGAAAGGGGCAGUUGGUCAGAGACAAGAUGGUGGAACCAGUGGGUCAACAGUGGGGCUAUUAGAGAAAGUAAGCUGGAAGGAUAAGAGCAAGUGGUCUUCUUCAUCUUGGUACCCACAGCUCCUACACAGCUUCUGAAAUAUAGUAAAAGCUCAGUAAAUAACUGUGUUUAAACUGAGGUCAUUGUUGGCCUGAGGAUGGAUCUUAGAGGGAUGGGGUUGCACCUUUCUCUAGUCCUCUAUUUCUUGGGUUCAGUGGUCUUUCUGAAUGAGUCCAUUCUGUUUCUCUGUUCAAUUUUUUCCUUUGGGAUCAGCACACAAGAACUUCUCUGCUUCCAGUCCCCAGUGGGAUAUGAACACGAUAGUUACUGCUGGGCUGUCCCAAAGUCACUCUGUGCUUGUGGGAAGCUGGAUGGACUGUGGACUGAUCUCUGGACGUUCAUUCGUUCAUUCGUUCAUCCACCCAUUCAUUCAAUAAACCCUCACUGAGCAGCUACUACAUACCUAUCUCCUUGCUAGGUUUUGAGUUAACAAAAUGAAUGAAUGAGUAAAUGGCCAAUAAAGUUUUGUUCAUUAGGGAGCUACAAAUUGUAGCACUUGAGUUUCUGGACUUGAACUUUUUGGGUCUGUCCAUCAUUCACAGUCAUAUUGAGACUAGAGGGGACAGCCUUUAUUCUUUAGCCUGCUGUGUUGUUUUAAAAUUUUACCAAAAUGUAUAAUACUCUGAAGACACACAAAAGAAAGAAAUCCUUCCAUGGUGUCUAAAAAUGUACAAAUGCAUCUCUCCAAGAGCCGGGGUCAGGUCAGCAGUUAUGCCUUCAUCAAGGGCGGGAUUCAGAUUCUCACCCCUUUAACAUUUUUUAAACCAUGACAUAUUAUUUUUUUAGGAUGGUUUUACCUACCUAAGGGUAAUGCUCACCAAUUCUUCUUCAGAAGUUGCGCUGUCUUCCACGUGAGACAUUUAAUUUUAAUUAAUCGAAUCAGCCAUUUGUUUUGUUUUUCCAAACCCUCCGCCACUCCCAGGUAAUCUGAAGAAAUCUCUCCCCAAAGGGAGCCAGGCUUUUGCGUGCUCCGGUGUCAGCCCUUUCCACUGUUGCCUCCAGCAGGUUGGAGGGACCAAGUCUCAGGUAUUUGCUGAGCGUCUGGCACAACGGGGUGCAUAAGCGCUGUUCAUAAAUUCUGGUGUGACUAAUGGAUUGAUAUAAAUCUCAUUAGGGCUAGGAUUGUGCCUCUGUCCCCAGCACCUAGAACAGUGCCUCCUACCAUUAGGUGCUCAAUGAAAAUGUUUGUUGAAUGAAUGCAUGAGUGAAUAUUACUGGGGACUGUUGAGCUUUGUAAAUCCAAAAAUGUGCUCUAGGGUCGACUCAUUUGAUUCCCUUCCAGCUUUCAGCGGUGAUAUGAAAUAGGGCUGUGAUUUUAGAAUGUUUUGCUUGUGCUCUGCAUCCUUUUUUGGGGAGGUGGGGAAGAGGUUAGCAGGCCGAAGCAUCCUUAACCAACACACCAAUCUGAGCUGCUCCUCCUCAUCCAUUCUCUAUCUUGCGGAAAGUGCCACUCCAACCAAAUCAGUGAAGUGAAAAAAGAAAACAAAGCUGGGUUUAAUUGUUACUCCUAUCCCUUACACAAGAGUGCCACGACUGAAAAUACAGAGGGGCAGCCUGAGGGGCUGUAAAUAGAGAGACUAGAAAGUUAGGAAAGAAGACUCUGAAAGAGCAUCACUUUUGGAGCCUUUCUUGAGGAUCUCCUCUGUCACCUGCAGCUUGCUCUGUGUCUUGGCUUAUGUUGGAGGAAUGCUUACUCCUCACUCAUGAUGCUCUUUCCAUGAGAAGGGGCCUUCUGUUCCAUCAACAAUGCUGGCCUUUCCAUACCCUUCCACUCAUUCCUCCCAGGAAAGGAUAGGUGACAUAACAGAGUGGUGAGUUUGAGAUGAGGAAUUGAGUUGUGUAGCCCAGUCUCUGCCUCUCUUGGGACUGACCUGUCAGCAAAGAGCCCCAUUCUGCUCUGCUCCAGUAUCCUCUAUAGAGGGCAGGCUAUGCAUCUGUUGGGGGCCUUGUAAUCAUGCAGUGCUGCCUGCGACUGGGUGGGUAAGGCUGCCUAAUUUUGGGAUUCAGUACUAGAAAGCUCAUUAUUGCUGCACACCUAAGACACAUCUUCCCGCCCAACCUUGAUGAGUAAUGUCAUAGUCGGUUUAGGCUGCUGUUAGAAAAAUACCAUGGAUGGGGUGGCUUAAAUGACAAACAUUUAUAUUUCACAGCUCUGGAGGCCGGGAAGUCUGCAAUCAGGGUCCAGCAUGGUUGGGUUCUGGUGAGGGCUCUCUUUCUGAUUUGCAGAUGGCUAACUUCUCCCUGUGUCCUUGCGUGGUGGAGAGCAGACAGAGAGGAAGCAAGCUCUCUCAUGUCUCUUCUUAUAAGGGCACUAAUCCUAUCACGAGGGCUCCACCUUCAUGAUCUAAUUACCUCCCAGAGGCCCCCUCUCCAAACAUCGUCACACUGGGGUUAGGGUUUCAAUGUAUGAAUUUUGGGAGCACGCAAACAUUCGAUCCAUAGCAAGUAAUAAGGAUGAGUUUUUCAUCUCCAUCUGCCUGACUCCUGUGGCUUUCUCUCAUUUGGUGCCAAACUUGGGUGAGGAAGGGACCCCCUCAAAUACCAAUAGCUGAGGUCUAGUGUUUGGAUGUUUGGGGAUUGAUCUGGCUGAAAGGGACAGAGACAAGCAGGUAGAGUUUCUUUGGUUCAGUGCUUAACCAGUUUGCACAGAGCAAAUCCCCUUUUCUUUCUAUGGGUGCCGCAUGCACGAUGCCCUAGCUCUCAGUGCUGUUGCUGCUCCUUCCCUCUGCUAUGCUGCUUUGCUGCAGCCCUUGUUUUCCAGCAUCCUCCAUCUGAUAACAUCACGGGGAGAGAGGGGAACGUUAGGAAAAGAGAGCAGGAAGAGAGGGCAGAAGCGUUCCCAGUAGUAGCCCUGCAGGCAGCACCCUUGUUUAGUGCAAACUGACUCUUCUUCAGCCAAGCAGAUGCUUAAGACCCAAGUUUCAUUAGGCUGAAUUCCUUCCCAUAGGGCACCUUGGUCCCUCAUGCAAAUGAAACUCUUCAUGAGCCAACCCCGAUAGCUGAAGAGGCCAUGUCUGAGUCUGAUAAUGCUCUGUAUAAUAUAUGUAAAACACACAAUAAUGCAUACAUACACACCUACAUUUUAGGAUGCAAUGCUACAGGUGAAUACAUAUAUGCACAAGGAAGCAUGUGUGUACACAUACAUUUGCUACAUAUAAUAAAACAACUCUUCCCCAAUUAAAAUUCAAAGUCAAUAAAGGUAAGGAAGGGACUGUUUCUGUAUUUCUUCUGUCCUCAAGGUUAGCUCUUCGAGUCAAGCCUCUCUUCCAAGUCGGGAUUUAAUUUCCUUGGAAAGAUAGUCUAUGGAAGGCAAGAAGUGCAGGACCUGGGUCCUUUUUCUGACCACGUCUCUGGCUGUAUGACCUGGAGCACAACCGUCCUGCUUCAAAGCCUGCGUUUCACUGCAUAGUACGUAGGGUAGAGGCUGUGCUGCGUUGGCUCUCCUAGCUCCUUCUGUGGAUGUAUACUCUGAACAAAUAGCCAACGAUUUGUAGGUGGCCAGAGGAAGAUAUGGAGGGAAGGAGAAGGUGGUGAGGUUUAAAGAGACAGGAAAUAUGGCAGCCCUCAUUUACUGGAGAGCUACGUAUUAUACAAUCGGCAAAGGAUGGGGUCUAGGGGUUCCAAUGGAAUCAUUGCCUACCUCAUCAGUUACUGCAAGAAUGAUAGAAACAACUGUGAUUGGCUUUGCACUCUUUAGAAAAAAAGGCAUUUGCAGGUGUGGCAGAGAGGAAGAGAGAGAGAAAGAGAGAGAGAGAACAGGCUGUGUGCUUGGCACUUUGUCGGGUGCUGUGAGGGGCACAGGGGUGGACCAGCCGCGGACCCUUCCCAAUUGCUCGUCAUCUCUGGCGAGAGAGGUCAGCCGCAGGCUCCGGAGAAAUAGCUCCUUAAGAGCGGGACAGGAAAAGUGCUGUGGAAUUUGAUAAACUAGAACUGAUAUCUAAAACUCUCUACUUGAGUCAUUGAGCAUUUGCAAGACAGAUUCCUUCAGGAGAGGGCCCCACAGGACUCUUGUUUGGGCUCUCACCUCACUUAUCCCAUGGAAGGCAUGAUCAACAGUGACUGAAUGUGUUGGCCCACAUUAUUUACAAACACCGUGCUUGAACCGUGGUUAGGCAGAGACGUAUUUGGAGAAGGUUUUGUGCUCACUACAGCUCUGUGCUAGAAAGGUCUGACUCGAAAUGCUUCAAUUGAGUUUCUUAACUAUUUACCUUGGUCCUUCGUGUUUUUUGUUUUCCAGUUCUUCCUCAAACACGCUCUUUCUCUUCUUCCGAAAACAGUCAGAUGGCUGAGUCUAAUGGGACUGUGAUUAUCUUACUAGAAAGACAGCACUUUGCAAAGCUUGCUUUAUAUUAGAUUCCCUUCAAAGUCUACACAGGGCGUGUGAGCAUGAGGGCAAUGACAUCCACAUAAGGCCUACAGCUGGAAAGAACAUUCUUAGAGCGGGAAGUGCUGUGUGAACAGUUGUCUGCUCUGCCCCAACUGUUGCCACAUGUGGGUGGGGCCCCCUGAAGGAGAAGGCAGAAGGGCUCUAGGUUUCUGGGGUACAUAUUAGGCUCUGAGCCACAGUUACCGCUACUAUUAUUAUUUAUAGUUAAAACUACUCAGUUAGUAUUCAUGGAAAAUUUCUAAGGUAGGAAUUAUUGUGACCUGCCGUUUACAAUUUGAAAGGACAUGCAAUUUCACUAAGGUUAUAUCAAUAGUAAAAGGCAGAACCAGGAUUCAAACCAGGCUCCAAGAUUUCUCCCCCACCUUUUCUUUUUUGGAGAGGAAGAUUGGCCCUGAGCUAAUACCUGUGCCCAUCUUCCUCUGUUUUGUAUGUGGAAACACCACCAAAGCAUGGCUUGAUGAAUGGUGUAGGUCUGUGCCUGUGAUCCGAACCCACGAACCUGGGCCACUGAAGCGGAGUGCACCGAACGUAACCACUAUGUCACUGGGCCAGCUCCCAAGUUCUUUCCCUUUUGUUGAAGGAAUGAUUUAGUGAAGGAAUGACUAGUGAUAUCGUGAUACGCACCAGCCGAACUUUCACUAGGAAUUGACCUGAUUGUUGAUGUUUUGUAAUUUGUGUACUUUCCCCCCAGUAUUGGCAUGAUUCUUUAUCUAAAUUCAAGAGGUCACUUCUUAACUAAGCAUUUCAGUGUUAGGAGGCACCAUCAAUCAACCAACAAAUUUUGGUCUCUGUAUAUUGAUACCUAGGUGCCUGCCAAGGUGAAUUUAUGGAGAGUAUCAGAUACUCUUCAAAUGCUCAUUUUAGCCAACUAUUUCUUUCCCAGUUUUAAUGUGGAUAAUGUAUAGUAACACUGAAUGAACUUACAUUCUCUGUGCUCUCUCCUCACUCGUGUGGGGUAAAUGAACCCAAGGUGACCACUGAGGAGGCCGCAGGAAAGAAAGAAUGAAGGGACUGGCAUGAUUCAUAUCUUGAAAGCUAGUGUUUGAAUAAUGAGGAGUCACUUAUGAUUACUAUUAGAAUUUCCCCAUUCUUCCUCUUCUUGUUCUAGUGACUUUCAAGUCCCUGGAGUAUUUUAUUGUCAUUUCUGAUACAUAGACAGCUAAAGUGGGUAUCACCCUUAAGAACUUACAGAUGGAAGUUGACAACGCCUCUGCGAGAAAGAGGUAUCAUUACUGUCAUUCACGGAGAGCCUGAGAGUCUAGGCCUCCAUGCCUGCUCCACUGGCUACAAGUUCAGGACUCUCCAGAGCCCCAGGGUGUUCUCCUGGGAGCUUCUCCUCCCUCCCCUCCACCGCCACUUGGAGACUGUCACCUGCCUUGGAGGAGAAUUCUUAUUGAGAGUUCCUAAGCCCUGGAUUUUCCAGACUCAGUCCUCUGCCUCUCAGUGAUCAGCUCACGAGAGUUUGCCCUGAAACGUACACAGUGAUUUCUGUGCUACUUUUUGGUAUUUCCUGCUGGAGCUCGGUCUGGGUGGAGUUCCCUGUGGAAGUGCCAGAGUUUUCCUGUUUGUGCAGUUGAUUUUCAAAACCUUAAAUAAACUCUGUUGUGAUGUGUUCAGAAUCAUAACAACUCAACAACUAAAAUAGGUGCCUACUAUGGGCCUGGCACGGUUCUAGCAGCUGGGGAUACAACAGUGACCUCAGCAGACCCUGCUUUCAAAGAGCUUGCGCUUGGGUCCAGGACACUGAUUAGCAAACAGGCAUUUGCCCUCCGCGUGCUAAGUGCUGUGAAGGACAAAGUCCAGGGUGUUGGAGGUUGGGGGGGUGGUGCACACAGCAGGGGCAGUGACUGAGCCCAGCCUCGGGAGUGGCAGGGCUUGGGGGUGUGGGAAGUGCCAGCAGAGGCUUCCUAGAGCCCGAGCCAGCUAAACUGUAUCCUAACUACCAGAAACUAAUUUUUGUAGACUCUGUUCUCAAUUAUCUACAAGUAGAUGAUUGCACUUAAUUUGCAAGAAAACUUUUUGCAAUGGCUUGAGUAUUUCAAUUUCCUCUAUUUAUAAUACAUGUUACAUAGAGGCAUCAAAUCUCACAAGGACAGAGCUUCGGCAGCCCAGAUAGCCUGCUCAAAGGAGGGUUUGGGACGAGUGAAACACUGCAUUUCCUGCUUGGGACCGAAGAGAAGGGAGAAAGGAGAUAGGGGUGGGGGGCAUUGAAGUGCUUCCCAAGCUUCCGACCAUUCAGGUCUUUAUAGGGAGCGUCAUUAUUUCAUCUGAAGUGUAUUUUCAGGGUGUCAAGCAGGCACAUCUCUGUUCAAAUACCAGAUAGGCAACAAAACACAUUCCAGAGCCACCAGAUGUAAAUGACUCGUGGAUGAUUCUCUUUUUAGCUUCUCCAGGCCAUUGUUCCCCUCCAUUAGCGCAAAUAAUAAAGACCAACUUCUUGCCAAAGGAAAGAAUAGGGGGUGGGGUUGGGAACAAUGCAAAGGCUUCUGUGUGUCUGGCCAGACGAGUUCCCUGUGAUUAGUCUCCGAUCCACUUUUGAUCUCUUGGUCAGACAAUAAAAUGCCUAUUUAAUUUAAAAAUAAACUUUAUUAAGGUUUAAUUUACAUGCAAUAAAACACACCCAAUUUAAGUAUGCUGUUCUUUGAGUUUUGACAAAUGUAUACACGGAGGCAACCACCUCCCCAACCAAGACAUGGAAAAUUUUCAACUCGCCAAAGUUCCUUUCGGCCUUUUUAGUUACCCUAGCCCCAGCCCCGGGCAAGCGCUGACCUGCUUUCUGUCACUAUAGAUUAAGUUUGCCUGUUUUAGAAUUUCCAAUAAAUGGAAUCAUACCAUAUUUUUUCUUUUGUGUCAGGCUUUUUCACCCAGGAUCAUGUUUUUGAGAUUCAUUCUUGUUGUUCUUGUAUCCAUAAUUCCUUCUUUUUUAUUUAAAAUGCUGAUUUUUGAAGUAGCAAGCAACUGUUCAAGGUACCACUCAGGAAGAUGAGCAAAUCGAGGAAGUCCCUCUGGCCUAAAAAUUCUAUCAACUUGCCCAGGAAAUGAAGGCCUGAGAAUUGCACCAGGUGCUCGCUGGCCUCCUAGAUGCAUCUCAGACUCUGCAUGGGCCAGAAAUGAGUAAUGUAUAACCCCCAAGGGUGACAUAAGAUCUCCCACCCAAUUCUGUUCUUCUGGGUAUUUAGGGAAGAGCAAUAUCCAGGGCAAGGUGAUGGUACUUCGCUCCACGGGACAGAAAUUUAGCAUCAACUGGAGAGUUGAAUCUAGAGGGUGGUCUGGGAGGCUGGGUAGAAUUGGAUUGAUUAUUAGGAGAAAAUUCGAAUAAUAUCAUUUAAGUACACACACAUUCUGAAUUAAAUACACAUUUGUGGAUCCCUGUACUUCUUAAUAAAAGGACACUUAGUUCCAAGUUCUCGUUAAGAAGCUGAUAAGCAUCCAUUUUCUUCUAUUCCGACAAUGAUUAUUCCUCAACUCUAUAAAAUUUACAAACUGCUUCGGAAGCAUUGGUGGAGAAAGGUGCUGUAUGAAUAUAUGAGAUUAUUGAAAUAAAUGCUGAUUUAGAGAUUUCCCAGGUGGAGAGUUAAAAUAUACUGGGGCACAUGCACUCACUCUCACCCCACCCUCAGGGUACUUUCCGCUCUGAUCAGCGGAGAUAAAUUUUCCGACCUGACAGUUGACUGUAAAUCAAGAAGUGUGUUUUAAUAGUCACCACCUUUCUGCUUCUGUGUGCUGCUGUCUGAGGCAAUCCUUCACCUCCCGGGACACAAGACCUGAAGGAUUUUGGCACAUUCUCUCCCCUGCACGUGGAGAGGUGGUGCUUAGCAGCAAGGUAAAUAUUGGCAGGCUUGUAGGCGAGCAGUGAAUAUAAAUAAGUCAGGACAUCCUUAGAAAAGUUCAUCUCUGGAUCCACCGUUCUUUUUGCCAAUAGGUAAGAAAAUAGAAAAUCAUGAGUUUCUCAGGUUUUUGCCAAAUCACAACAAGAUAUUUUUGUAACAAUAUAAAAGCUAGAAAGUAUUUGAGAGUCAGUAAAUGCUGAAUAAAUAAUUCUGAAGGUGAACACAUGCCCUUAUUGCCACAAGCCCUGAUUACUGGGUUGGAUUACUACACUUGCUCCUCCUGACUUUAUCCCUCAUAAUCCUGUCCAUCAACGUUUGCUUGGAGUAACGCAAAUAAACCAGGCUGUUCCAUGCCCCAGUGUCUUUGCACCUGCUGCUGUUUAUGCCCGGACUGGAACCCUUUCCAUUAAUCCACGUGGGCCAGGGACAUUUUCUGAUCUUUCAACACUUGGUACCAGGAUCACCUUUAAUUUGCUUUAUGAAGCUUUUCUUGACAAACUCUCUCACUCCCAGACCUGCCACUUCAUCCUGUACAAAUGUGAUUGCACAUGUCUAUUUAACACAAACAUCACUGGCCUCUCUUGGCAAGUCUCUGCUCAUAUCCUGUACUCCCUCUGAGGCCAUAAUCAACACUUCAUUGCUACCCAGUUGCCCUUUGUGACUUCUCAAGCCUCUUCCCAAAGCAUUUUGAGUAAUGUAGCUUUUACUGAAAUGUUCACAAGGGAGAAAAGUGGAGGGCUUACACUGAACACCAUGUGGCCAAACUUCAUAAAAAUCUCCAUCAUUCCAAAAGCCUGUUCUCCUUUUGCCAGCUGCCUUCUCUCCUCUGUCUCUUCCAUUCUCUGCUCUCCUCUAACCUCCUUUCACCCUUGGAUCCCUCAACACGGCCACAAUCCCAGCUCACAAUCCAGCCCUUUCAGCCCUUUCUCCUUCAUUAACUUGUGUCCUUGAAGUUUUAGGUCCUAUUCAUCAAACAAAGUAUCUCUGUGAGAUCACUCCCCUUUAAAAGGCAAGGGUCACAAAAUCUCCACAUUUCUUCUCCUUCCACUAAAGACUGGAGCAACUUGAGGGUAGGAAUCAAGCCCUAUACACUUUUGCAUCUCUUCUGCAAAAUAUUUAAAAUAUUGUGAAAUGGAAGAAGAAAUAAAUGAAAAAAUAUAGCCACAGGUUAAAAUCCCCAAAGCCCCACUCUAAUCACAGUUUUCUUCUGUUUGAAGAUCUUCCUUACCUCGUGAACUCAUGCUUUGGUCAUCUGCCAUUUCUCCCUGACUCUAGCACUCUGCCCCGCCAUGAUGGGCCCUCUCCACUCCAGCCCACUGGGCGUGUUCUUGCCCUCAGGUGCUCAUUCGGGUUGUCUCUCCAGGCCUAGAAUAAUCUAUGUCAUUCAUGAGGAUGGUUGGCGGUGGUUUACCAUCACCCUAUUGGAGGCCAAGGUAGACGCAACUGUUCUGGUUUCGUAGGUCCGUCCUAACCCUUCCCAGUCUUCAAGGCUCAGUGCGGGUCUUUGCUUCCUCAGCAGACUUCAUGGAGGUCUGCAGUCCAGGCGUAAUGCUCUCUCUCAUGUCCUUAGGACAUAAGCCUUGAACACAUCCACUCUGAUGGCACUUAAUCAUUCAGCCUUAUAUCAUUGUUAAAUUUGGGGUAUGAGGCCUUGAGGUCAUCCUCUUUCCAAAAUGUGGUCAUCAUUAGGUCUGUUCACCAAAAUUUUAGGUGUUUUCCUCAUUUCUAGACUUGUGGUAAGUUUGUACUUGUCUAACCCCUUGAAGCUAUGUGUGGCUGUCUAAUUGACUCUGGCUAAUGACAUGUGAACAGAAUUGACAUAAGCCCCUUUGGGAAAUAAGCUUUCAGAGGAAGAGUGAUGGAUCAUGCUGUCUUUCCCUCUGACAUGGCGACUGGCAGUGUUUGAGGCAUCUGGUGGAUUGUCCAUCAGCCUGGGUCUGUGAAUGAGGACCCAGCGAUUCACAUGGGCAUUUGGUAUGAGCAAGAAGUAAACCUUUGUUAUGUUAUGCCAUUUAGAUUCAGAGAUUAUUUGAACAAUUAAUAACAUAAAUAAAUAAAUGUGUGUUGCUGCAGCACAACCAAUCCUAUCCAGACAGACUCUAAGUUCCCUGAAGGCAGCACUCAGGUAUAACUCACCUUUCUGUCCCCCAGAGAACAUAGCACAAUGCCUCACGGAUGUUCGAGAACUACUGCUGAUUGAUUAGACAUACUGUGAUAAGGUAAAAUAUAUGAGACUAGAGAGUAGUACUUGGUGUCAGGACUUCAACUUGAGACUUAGCCUCUAAAAAACCAAAAUAAAUGUACGUGAUGAUUUCAGUAGUAUUCCAAUAAGAUCGUUGCAUACAGGGAGGCAGAAGAGUGUAAUGCAAGGAACCUGGGCUCUCUAGCUUGAUAGACCUGGUUCAAGUGCAAGCUUUACCAGGUACUUGGCUGCAUGACCUUGGGCUGGUUAUUUAAGGUCUUUGAGGCUGGGAGAACAUCACUACUUACUAGGAAGGAUUAUUGUGGGGAUUAAACAAGAGAAUGUAUGUAAAGCCCUUGGCACAUAAUGAAUGGUCAACAAACGUCAUUCUCUUAGGCUCUCCUCCCACCAACUGCGUGUGGGUUGGUAUGAACUCUUGCUUAAUUCUCUGGGAACUACUUCCCUUCAUUUACACCCUCUGAGACCUUGGUUGCUCGCCUAGUCCCUGGAUUUCUUUAGCUUGGCCUACCUCAGAUCCUUAGGAUUUUGCUUUCCCUACCCCAUGCACACUCUGGCCUUCUGAGAAAUUCCAUAUGCAAAUGGUCACAGUUGACAGGAGCCCUUGGCAAAGGACUGCAAUGGGGGAAAAGGGUUCUUGAGACAGACUGUCUGCUGCCCCAAAUUUAAAAUAGGGCCCUUGGUAAGGUGUGUAUAGUCAGGGAGGUGAUCUCUAUGGGGAAGAAAGAAUUUAAGAUGUCAUGGUGACCAGUUCCAAGGAAGCCCCACCUUGGCCUGUGCCCUGGCUCUAAUGGCGGGGGGUUCUUCUCUUGAAUCCUGGGAUUGUAUCAGUGAUGGUCGCAGAGAGGUCUGUGAGAUUAUCUUCAAUGACUGACUCCUUCCACAGACUGGGUCUUGGUGUGGGGCCCGAGGGCUUAUGUUUUCUUGGACUCCUGGCCCAGUGAACUGUGUGUUUACAGGUUUACAAUUGUCCCUGACUGAGUCCUUGAGGCCACCUCCCCCCUUCCCCUCCCCAUGGAGCGCAACCGUGAUGUGGCAUAUCUAACCACCCCAAGGUGCUUGUGUAACUUGUUUUUCAAAGUCUUGGCAGGAGCUCCGGUCCUGAAGUGAGAAAGGGUGUUUACAUUCUGGAAGAGCAGUGCCGACAAAUGUCUUGCAUCAGGGCUGUUCUCCACCAAUCUCUGCUUCCCAGUUUUCUUCUCUGUGGGAUGGCUUGUGACAGCCACAGAGAUAGUCUGGGACCUGGAAGAAACGAGCCUGAACGUGAAAGCAGGCAUUCAAGGGACAGGGACAACAAAAGCUGUUUCCCUAUAAGGAAAAGAAAAGGUUCCCAGUGCCUGUGACUUCUCUCCCAGUUGUUCAGGCUGUCACAACAUUACAAAUAGUGUUCCCCAAUUUGCCAUAUGGCCUGAGAUUUCAUAAUGAGGGCUUUGGGUCUUUGGCCUUCAUAUACAUCACCAACAUGAGAAGCUGCCAAUGCUUGGUAAAGUGGUUUGAAAUUUAUCUUUGAAAACCAUUGUCUAGUCUUAGGCUCGAGUCUCCAGUUUGGGGAUACACGGAUAAAUGUUUAGGGGGGGCUGCUUAGAGAAUCUGAGGCAAGACCCCUAUUGGAUAGGCAGCAGUUUUCCGACUUCUUGUUAUUUUUAAUAGCAGUGGAUUCCUUUCUUUAUACGAAAACGUACCAAAAACUCGCUAGUGAAGCAGGAAGAGCACAACUUUGUGGGAGCGGAGCUGGGAAUCUGAAGUGUGAGCGCUGGAUUUGAGUCUCCUAAGCAUGGGUAGCUGAUGACCACAGGAAGGAUCCGUGAGAAAGGCCAGAGAGUGGAAACUGAAACUGACUGACAACAGACUGGAAAGAGAGAGUCUGGAGCCGGGAUUAAGGGACUGUGGUUUCUGCAAGUCCGCUGUCCGUCUAGGGGUUGGCAUCUUCCAGGAGAGGCUAGAGCUUGUGAGUCUCAGCUCAGCCUGAGGACCCAUGGAGAAGAACGUAAUUCCAGCUCCAAAGGCCUCUCUUGCACAGAAGAAUUUUUAGCGUUGAGAGGAAGUCUAGGAGGGCAAGAUGGCAGCCGACAACUCCAGACACUUUCUACCCUGCUCAAGACCAAUGGGAAAGAGCUCUGAUUGGGUCACAAGCCCAUUCCUGAACCAAUCACGAUGGCAGUGCUCCGAAUGGCCAGGAGGCCUGAGCAGCUCUGUUCACCAGAUCACUCAGGGACUCAGGCUGAUGACACAACCCCUAACUCCAACAUUGUCAGACUCUACCGGACGACAGGAGCUUGCAGAAGAUCUUGCGUCAGGACUGAAAUGGUGCAGCCAGCAGUGACUUAUACUUGCAUUUCAUUGGCUAGAACUAGUCACGUGACCCCACCCAACUGGAAAUGGGCCAGGAAGUACCAUCUUAGCAUGUGCGCGGAGCCGGUACUCUGAAAUAUUUGGGAACAGUACUGAUGACUGGGGUGAUCAGAUGAUUUGGAAACUGUGAUGACCACAUGCAUGAGUCCCUCAGAAGAUUCAGCAUGGUCUAGUUCUCUGGCAAGGGAGAUCAGACCCCACUCUGAAGACCACUGUCCCACCGGCCUCACAUACUGGAAGUGUACACUCUAUGACUUCUUGCUUCUGAAUCUUGGCUCCUCGCAGGCAGCCCCUGGGAGGAUGACUGACAAGACAGCUGAAGCCCAGCUGCUAUUUCUUCAAGAAAAUUGUUGUAGUCAAAUACACUUAAUGUGAAAUUUACGAAUUCAAUCAUUUUGAAGUAUAUAAUUUGGUGGUAUUUAUUAUAUUCACAGUGUUGUACCAUCACUACUAUCUGGUUCCAGAACAUUUUUAUCACCCCAAAAGGAAGCCGCAUAUCCAUCAAGUAGUUACUCCCUAUUUCCCUCCUCCUUCCAGCCGCUGACAACCACAAAUCUGCUUUCUGACUAUGAAUUUGCCUAUUCUGGGUAUUUCAUAUAAAUGGAACCACACAAUAUGCGGCCUUCUGUGUCUUUAAGCACAGCUACUUUUCGAGGUGUCCUCAUGACCCAUGAGCAGCUCACAGAAUGUUGUGUACCAAAUGGUGGCAGUGCAGGUGCCCCACAGAUGCCUGCUUUCGCCACCUGCUGUCACUCUGAUUUCCUUUUUCUGGUUCAGAGGGAGAGUAGCACCCUGCCGCCUAAGCAGGGAAUGGACUGCCCGCCUCUCCUUCUUUCAAGGCCUCAGUCUCUGUGGGUGACUCUCUGUGGGAAUCCCUCCCUCACACCGGUGGGGGGUGGGGGGUGGGAAGGGGAAGAAGGCUCGUCCCUGUGCACGGAGGAGGAGAAGCCACUGUACACCCCCAAUCUCUCCCGAUUCCCACCCGCCCCAGCAGAAGUCCUUCCAGUGCUUGAGGUCAGAGUGAUGAUAGUGGAACCACAAGGGCUUCCAAGACAUGGGGAAGUGUGGCAUUUGGCCCCAUUCCCCCCACCCCCACCGUGUUCUUUACAAUCUGUGUUAUUUAGCUGCUGUGUUUUCAGCUUUGGGCCUGAGGGCCAAAUCUGCAGCAACAAGAAAGGUCCUAUUUGAUAUCUUACACACCUUUUUGAUUAAUGUUCCUCCCUCACUCAACAACUUCCCACGUCUCUCUGUUAUGAACGGAUAAAUUCCAAACUCUUGACUUGGCAUUCAAGGCCCUCUACCAAUGGGUCCAACUUGGCUUUCGAGCUUUCUCUCUUAGCGUCCCCAGCACGAAGUCUGUGUUCCUUUCAGGUUGGCCUGCUCACUCGCUGCCCCCACAAUGGUCUUGUUCCGUUUGGGUUGGAGUCCUUCACUCUUCCCUUCCCACCUGGGGUGUGUUUUCUCUGCUUUCUCUUCUCUGGCCUGUGCAGCUCUUUCCCAUCAUCUCCUCUCAGCUUUCCUGGGCACCCAGCCUCGUCUCUCUCUGUGCUCCUCAGCCUGGGCUGUGCCCUCAGGCACCUCUCCUGCUGCCUUGUGUGGCUAGUGACCCCCUCACAGGUGUCCGUCUGUGCCAGGGCAGCCUGAGUUGCUGAAUGAACACUGCAGCCUGCAUGGAGGCUGACCAGCCCGUCCCCUCACCCCUGUGACCUCAGGAAGGGAAACUGGCAGAGCUACGCUGAAGGGGAUUAGCCAAGGCCACAGAACCCAAAUCUUCUCCUGAUUGGUGUGACUAAUCCACUUUUGCUCAACAAGCCCAGCUGAGGCCUCAAAAAACCCUUUCAACACUGCUCCAGGCGGCCACCACCAUUCAAUUGAAUUUGGCAAGUGAGUUGAAGUCUGUUAUUCCUACACCCAGCUCUUCCAGGGAGUGAAGCUGUAAACCCUGGCAAGAUUGGCUACAAGAAGCCGUGGACGGGCCACUGAAGUGGAUCCACAAGUGGCAGGG